UACAGAGGGUGCAAGCGUUAAUCGGAAUUACUGGGCGUAAAGCGUGCGCAGACGGUUGCGUAAGUCAGAUGUGAAAGCCCCGGGCUCAACCUGGGAAUUGCAUUCGAGACUGCGUAGCUAGGGUGCGGAAGAGGGAAGCGGAAUUUCCGGUGUAGCGGUGAAAUGCGUAGAUAUCGGAAGGAACACCAGUGGCGAAAGCGGCUUCCUGGUCCAGCACCGACGUUCAGGCACGAAAGCGUGGGGAGCAAACAGG
rnacentral:rRNA from 1 species